rnacentral:rRNA from 1 species
AUUUCUAAAAUUAAUAAAUUAAUUUUUAAUGAUCCGAUNUUCGAUCAACGAANCAAGUUACCCUGGGGAUAACAGCGCAAUCCACUUCAAGAGCUCCUAUCGACNAGUGGGUUUACGACCUCGAUGUUGGAUCAGGGUAUCCUAGUGGUGCAGCAGCUACUAACGGUUCGUUUGUUCAACGAUNAANACCCUACGUGAUCUGAGUUCAGACCGGACUC